rnacentral:rRNA from 1 species
AAAGGGCCGCGGUAAUCUGACCGUGCAAAGGUAGCAUAAUCAUUAGCUUUUUAAUUGAAAGCUGGAAUGAACGGCUAGAUGAGAAAUGAACUGUCUUUUUGUAUAACUUAGAAAUUAACUUUUAAGUGAAAAGGCUUAAAUUUGCUGGGGGGACGAUAAGACCCUGUAAAACUUAAAUAUUUCGUUUUAUUUGAAGGGGAAGUUAUAUGUUUAAUUUGUCUAAUAGGAACAAGUAUUUUGUUGGGGAGACACAGAUACAAUUAGUAAAUAACUGUUUGUUUUAAAUUUUAUAUUUUUAUUUAGAUUAAGAUCCUCUUAUAGAGAUUGGAAGAACAAGUUACUUCAGGGAUAACAGCGUAAAUCUCUUUGAGAGUUCUUAUCGAAAGGAGUAGUUGCGACCUCGAUGUAGGUCUGUUCGACCUUUAAAACCUUACGUGAUCU